CCCCUCACACCGCCGCCCUCCGCGGCCGCGUCCCUUCCCGCCGUCGGGGGCUGGGGGGGGGUGGGGUGGGGGGAGAAUGGGAAACGACCGAGGUCUGCCCCCCUUUCCCGCCCGCCCCGCCGCCUCUCCGCGCUCCCCCCGUCUCCCUCCGGCCCCCGUCUGAUUUACAGUAAAUUAAAGACGCGCCGCGCUCCGGCGCUGGCAGCGGGACCACAGUGCGCGGCCGCCGUGACUCAGAUUUGUUUUCCUUCAACCAAGUGACUCUGAGAGUGUCCUUAGUAAUGUCGCGUGUGGUUUUGGUGGGGAGUUUUAAUUGUGCUGGGAGAUCGAAUGGCAGAUCGCAGCCUUUUCCUGCGGAUGACUUGAAAAGCAGUCGGGGGGCCGGCUGGGCUCGCCGGUGCCCCCGCGGCUCCCCGGCGGGUCGGGGCGCGUCGGGGCGGGCCGGGCCGGGACCCCGGCGGCCCCCCUCGCCCGCUGCGGGGGCUGAGCCCCGCGCCCGGGCUGCAGCACUUGCUCUUAGUGAUUGCAAAACUGGACCUGACUCACCACAUUUGUGCAGUGAAAGAGGCUGACCCUUUCCGUUCAUACAGGAAACCUUGAGCUCUCGAUAGGAGUAAAUCUGGUUUCAGAAGCUGUUAAGUGUUUUCCUGGCCGCCUGAAGCAGGCUCUUCCCCGGGAGUCGUGCACAUUGCUGAUUACUUUAUCGACAUCCUCAAUACAGACAAAUUCAGGAAACACUCGACUUCUGAUAGCCGGGAUCCGUUUUUCUGAUAUUGUUCAUUUCCUCUGUGUGGGAUGUGACUUUAUGACAGCUAAAAUAACCAGUUGCUUCCUAUUUUUUUGAGUCUGUUUUGCACCAGAAUUACUAAAGCCUGACGCAAGCAAAAUCUUGAAAAACAAUGCAGCAAAUUUCAAAGGGUGCAGGCAGCAAGACAGAAAGACAAACAGAGUGACUCAGUGGCACUGGCCAGAGCCUCCAGCCCCGGGACGCGGCCGCCGCUCCGCAACCAACAGGAAACACAUUGACGGAAAUGUUGCCAAAGCCCGUAGAGUGGCUGUAACUGGUCUCUCUGUUCGGCGGAGGUGAAAAAUCAGAGGAGGCGAAAGAUCAGACUAGGAACUGGGGGAAAUAAAAUCAGGCGAAGGAAAUUAGCGGGCCCUGGACCCGGCGCGCCUCCA